AACGUAGGAGACAAACGUUAUCCGGAGUUACUGGGCGUAAAGGGCGUGUAGGCGGUUUGUUAAGUCUGGCGUGAAAGCUCUCGGCUAAACCGGGAGAGGUCGUUGGAUACUGGCAAACUAGAGGACGGUAGAGGCGUGUGGAAUUCCGGGUGUAGUGGUGAAAUGCGUAGAGAUCGGCAGGAACACCCAAGGAGAAAUCAAGCGGACUGGCGUCGGAGCUGACACUGAGGUGCGAAAGCGUGGGGAGCGAACGGG
rnacentral:rRNA from 1 species